CUACACAGCGAUGUGAUGCUAAUCUCCAAACCAUGUCUCAGUUCGGAUCGGAGUCUGCAACUCGACUCCGUGAAGCUGGAUUCGCUAGUAAUCGCGCAUCAGCCACGGCGCGGUGAAUACGUUCCCGGGCCUUGUACACACCGCCCGUCAAGCCAUGGAAGCCGGGAGUGCCUGAAGUGCGUGAGCGCAAGCAGCGCCCUAAGGUAAAACCGGUGACUGGGGCUAAGUCGUAACAAGGUAUC
rnacentral:rRNA from 1 species